AGUGAACGCUGGCGGCGUGCUUAACACAUGCAAGUCGAACGAGAACGGGUUAUAGCUUGCUAUAAUUGUCAGCUAAGUGGCGCACGGGUGAGUAAUGUAUAGGUAAUAUGCCUCUUACUAAGGGAUAACAAAUGGAAACGUUUGCUAAUACCUUAUACUCCUUAUUAACAGAAGUUAAUAAGGGAAAGAUUUAUUGGUAAGGGAUUAGCCUGUAUUGUAUCAGUUAGUUGGUGGGGUAAUGGCUUACCAAGACUAUGACACAUAACUGGUUUGAGAGGAUGAUCAGUCACACUGGAACUGAGACAGGGUCCAGACUCCUACGGGAGGCAGCAGUGGGGAAUAUUGCACAAUGGACGAAAGUCUGAUGCAGCAACGCCGCGUGGAGGAUGACACAUUUCGGUGCGUAAACUCCUUUUAUAUGAGAAGAUAAUGACGGUAUUAUAUGAAUAAGCACCGGCUAACUCCGUGCCAGCAGCCGCCGUAA
rnacentral:rRNA from 1 species